CUUGGUCAGUUACAAUACAGCGUGCUGAGGAGUCGUUGUGCCGGGGAGACAAUAGAAAACGCCUCAUCAAGUGACGCUCCGAGACGCGACCGGCCGAGGCAUCGACGAGGAACGGGAGUCUCUCGGAAAAUAUUUGUACAAGUGAAGCCUACGUUGCAGCAACUAUAUUGUUGACCAAGAGCUUCGAAUACUUGGGCCGUGCGUCACCUAAGCCCUAGGGGGAGAGAGAGAGAGAGAGAGAGAGAGAGAGAGAGAGAGAGAGAGAGAGAGAGAGAGAGAGAGAGAGAGAGAGAGAGAGAGAGAGAGAGAGAGAGAGA